GCCAGUAUGGUACAGUGGAUUGUAAGAUUGGACUAGGGCUCCAGAAGACCAGGGUUCAAAUCCCUGUUCAGCCA